AGAGUUUGAUCCUGGCUCAGGACGAACGCUGGCGGCGUGCUUAACACAUGCAAGUCGAGCGGAAAGGCCCUUCGGGGUACUCGAGCGGCGAACGGGUGAGUAACACGUGAGCAACCUGCCCUUAGCUCCGGGAUAGCUCCGGGAAACCGGAAUUAAUACCGGAUAUGACCAUUGCCGACAUCGGCGAUGGUGUAAAGGUUUUCCGGCUAAGGAUGGACUCGCGGCCUAUCAGCUAGUUGGUGGGGUAACGGCCUACCAAGGCGACGACGGGUAGCCGGCCUGAGAGGGCGACCGGCCACACUGGGACUGAGACACGGCCCAGACUCCUACGGGAGGCAGCAGUGGGGAAUCUUGCGCAAUGGGCGAAAGCCUGACGCAGCGACGCCGCAUGGGGGAUGAAGGCCUUCGGGUUGUAAACCCCUUUCAGCAGGGACGAAGCGAAAGUGACGGUACCUGCGGAAGAAGCGCCGGCUAACUACGUGCCAGCAGCCGCGGUAACACGUAGGGCGCAAGCGUUGUCCGGAAUUAUUGGGCGUAAAGAGCUCGUAGGCGGACUGUCACGUCUGCUGUGAAAAGCUGGGGCUUAACCCUGGCCUUGCAGUGGAUACGGGCAGACUAGAGGUAGGUAGGGGAGAAUGGAAUUCCCGGUGUAGCGGUGAAAUGCGCAGAUAUCGGGAGGAACACCGGUGGCGAAGGCGGUUCUCUGGGCCUUACCUGACGCUGAGGAGCGAAAGCGUGGGGAGCGAACAGGAUUAGAUACCCUAGUAGUCC
rnacentral:rRNA from 1 species